UUCAACUUGAGAGUUUGAUCCUGGCUCAGAACGAACGCUGGCGGCAGGCCUAACACAUGCAAGUCGAGCGAGAUCUUCGGAUCUAGCGGCGGACGGGUGAGUAACGCGUGGGGAUGUGCCCUUUGCUACGGAAUAGUCCCGGGAAACUGGGUUUAAUACCGUAUGAGCCCUUCGGGGGAAAGAUUUAUCGGCAAAGGAUCAACCCGCGUUGGAUUAGGUAGUUGGUGGGGUAAUGGCCU
rnacentral:rRNA from 1 species